rnacentral:lncRNA from 2 species
UUGAGGAUGAUGGAGCUGGGGUAUCUGUCAACUCACCGGUUGCCAGAGUCCAUGUGACUAAUAUGGCUGGCUUGAUGUUCUCUUCCUCACUCAUCACAUAGUGAGGAAUCCUCCUGAAAUUCCGUGCCUGGUCAGAGAGAAUGAUGUUCCCUAGUAGAGAAGAACUGUUCUUCAAUCAAAAGUAAGCUGUCACAGAACUCCCCUGCAAGAACCUUUGUACCAGUUAAACUAUUACUGGCGAAUUUAAGCAGAAAAUGAGGAUUAUUAUAAGGGUAGUGGGCAUAUUUUUAGAAGAAAAUGUAAAAAAAAAAUUAUGACCUUGGUAAUGAUGAGGAAACAUUUCUU